GAGUUGCGAGACUUGGUUUUUUUACAUGUUUCGCUUUUGAUGGCAUGUUAUUUACAAUAUAAUAAAAUUUGAGUUAUGUCAUUCAAAACACCCGAAAACCAUUAUAUUCAUUGAGUGGUUAAUGCGAAGUAAACGCAUUUCAUACAUUAUUAUAAUUCUGUUAUUUCAAGUAACCAAUAGUAAUAAUUUCAUGUGAAAAAACGCCAGUCAUUAUAGAAUCUGUGUAUGAGUAUAUAACGACCCGUAUGUUUCCGUUCGAUAUUGUGCAGGGCAACUCAAUAAUCAAUCAACUAUAUUUCACCAUCAUUAAGUGAUUACAACAUCAAUUCUCAACAACUUGAUAGAAUGACCUUUAUAAAGGAUGCAAAGUAAAUACAAAUUUCGCUGAGUCGAUGGGAUCGGCCAAGAGUGCCUUAGAAAGACAUGUUGCAAUUAUAAUACGAGGUGUGAACUAUGAAAAGUGUGUUGAAAUUUUAAUGAUGAUUCUUAAAAUGAAUUUUACUCUCCUAUAAAUAACUGUCUAGUAUUCGAGAAAUUGAUAUUCAUAUUAUUAACAUAUAUAGAUUUCAAAAUAAAUUACUUCCAUAAAUAAAGUACUCCAUAAAAGUGGAGGAAGUUCCAUAGGCGUGCUUGAUUGACAUUGGAUAAUUGUAUAAAGAAUAUGUAUGUGGAUUGGUUUGUUGAAUAGGAGUUUGUAUUUUUCACACGCCUCGUUCAAAAAUAGUCUUGCUUCGGUCUUAGUAUUCGUUUCUUUAUGGAACUGGAAUAGGAGUUUAUUGGCUCAGAAUUAAACAAUAUGUGAACUUCGGCAAUAAAUCAAUUAAUUUUCAAGCAGAUAUGUGUAAAUGAAAAAUGUGUCCAGUUUAAGUUAUCAGGUGUCCAUUAGAGCCUGAGCUCCAACGUCAAAGGAUCCAAGAUGGUUAGGGAGUUUAUAAAGAAGUUAAAUGGCAAAGCAAAAAGAAUAAAGCUACUCUUCAAUGACUUACUAAAGUGAAGGCAAAUAAAUCCUUCAUUAGACCUGAUCCUACCCUAGAAAAAUAUGGAGAUAGGAUUAUAGGAAUAGUCAGCAGAGGUUGAGUCAGACUCAGUCAGUCAAAUACUCCUGGAAAACUAUAACUGAAGAUCUAAUGGAUCUAUAACAUAAGUAGAAAUCAUCUACGAAUAUUUACAGGAGUUUUUUCAGUGUAUUGUAGUCUCAAUAGGUACCUAAAAAGGUUACGUAUACUAGAGGAUGCUACCUGCAGAUUCGCUAAGUAUGACACGAAACUUUGAUUCACAUUAACUCGUGCUCCAAAGCAUUACACCUGGGGUCAUAUAGAAAUAGAAAAUAAUUAUCUUAGGCAGUUAGAGUCAUCACAUUCUUUGGAGACAAUUUUUAUUGAGUCUUGAAUGAGCAUUUCCAUAGAAAUAGAAGAAUUAUAGUUACAUAUUAAUUAAUGAGAAGAUAUUUUAACCUCUUAGAACUCAUCUUACUGUGUUUAUUAAAUUGGUUAAUUUGCUUAAAAUACAUUAAUGUGAAUUUAGUAUUAGAAAAGUGUAUGGAACUAUAUACAAUAUAAGUUUGUUCUUUGUCUUUUAUAAGUGAUCGACUAAAUUCGCGAGAAAUACCAGACGAUGUCAAAAUUCUCAAAUCAGAUACUAAGUCUAUCUCAGCCUUAAUUAUAAGAACAAAUUUCGUUAUGUUCAAGCAUUAGAUCGUUACGAAAUUGUGUUUUCAUAGUUACCAUAUGUUAUUUUGGGUGUUAAAACUCAACAUUCUAUUUGGAUGUAUAUUUGUUUGUUUUAGAAUCGUUUUAUUGACAAAUUCACUUAGAAUUAAUGAAUUUGUGUGGGUACGUGAAGUCCGGGACGUAAAAAUUGAGUGGAAAAAUGAAAGUUUAACGAUUUAACGCCUAUUUUGGCAAAUUAAAUAUAUUUUAUUUAUGGAUGAAGAAAUUAUUACUGGUUUAGAUGAAGAAAAUUAUUUUUUUUUCACAUUUCACUAUAUAUUAUGUAAUAUUGUUGAGACUUUCAUUCUUGUAUAAAGGUUGUAACUUCGG